rnacentral:rRNA from 1 species
GACGAACGCUGGCGGCGUGCUUAACACAUGCAAGUCGAACGGAAAGGCCCUGCUUUUGUGGGGUGCUCGAGUGGCGAACGGGUGAGUAACACGUGAGUAACCUGCCCUUGACUUUGGGAUAACUUCAGGAAACUGGGGCUAAUACCGGAUAGGAGCUCCUGCUGCAUGGUGGGGGUUGGAAAGUUUCGGCGGUUGGGGAUGGACUCGCGGCUUAUCAGCUGGUUGGUGUGGUAGUGGCUUACCAAGGCUUUGACGGGUAGCCGGCCUGAGAGGGUGACCGGCCACAUUGGUACUGAGAUACGGCCCAGACGCCUACGGGAGGCAGCAGUGGAGAAUAUUGCACAAUGGGCGGAAGCCUGAGGCAGCAACGCCGCGUGCGGGAUGACGGCCUUCGGGUUGUAAACCGCUUUCGCCUGUGACGAAGCGUGAGUGACGGUAAUGGGUAAAGAAGCACCGGCUAACUACGUG